rnacentral:rRNA from 1 species
AUUGAACGCUGGCGGCAUGCUUUACACAUGCAAGUCGAACGGUAACAGGUUAAGCUGACGAGUGGCGAACGGGUGAGUAAUGCAUCGGAACGUGCCCGAUCGUGGGGGAUAACGCAGCGAAAGCUGCGCUAAUACCGCAUACGAUCUGAGGAUGAAAGCGGGGGACCGUAAGGCCUCGCGCGAUCGGAGCGGCCGAUGUCAGAUUAGGUAGUUGGUGGGGUAAAGGCUCACCAAGCCAACGAUCUGUAGCUGGUCUGAGAGGACGACCAGCCGCACUGGGACUGAGACACGGCCCAGACUCCUACGGGAGGCAGCAGUGGGGAAUUUUGGACAAAGGGCGAAAGCCUGAUCCAGCAAUGCCGCGUGCAGGAAGAAGGCCUUCGGGUUGUAAACUGCUUUUGUACGGAGCGAAAAGGUCCCCUCUAAUACAGGGGGCUCAUGACGGUACCGUAAGAAUAAGCACCGGCUAACUACGUGCCAGCCGCCGCAGUAA